CCUACGGGGGUGCAGCAGUGGGGAAUAUUGGACAAUGGGCGAAAGCCUGAUCCAGCCAUGCCGCGUGUGUGAAGAAGGCCUUCGGGUUGUAAAGCACUUUCAGUGGGGAAGAAAGCCUUGGGGCUAAUACCCUCGAGGAAGGACAUCACCCACAGAAGAAGCACCGGCUAACUCCGUGCCAGCAGCCGCGGUAAUACGGAGGGUGCGAGCGUUAAUCGGAAUUACUGGGCGUAAAGCGCGCGUAGGCGGUCUGAUAAGCCGGUUGUGAAAGCCCCGGGCUCAACCUGGGAACGGCAUCCGGAACUGUCAGGCUAGAGUGCAGGAGAGGAAGGUAGAAUUCCCGGGGUAGCGGUGAAAUGCGUAGAGAUCGGGAGGAAUACCAGUGGCGAAGGCGGCCUUCUGGACUGACACUGACGCUGAGGUGCGAAAGCGUGGGUAGCAAACAGGAUUAGAUACCCCGGUUC
rnacentral:rRNA from 1 species